GAUGAACGCUGGCGGCGUGCCUAAUACAUGCAAGUCGAGCGAACAGACGAGGAGCUUGCUCCACUGACGUUAGCGGCGGACGGGUGAGUAACACGUGGAUAACCUACCUAUAAGACUGGGAUAACUUCGGGAAACCGGAGCUAAUACCGGAUCAUAUAUUGAACCGCAUGGUUCAAUAGUGAAAGACGGUUUUGCUGUCACUUAUAGAUGGAUCCGCGCCGCAUUAGCUAGUUGGUAAGGUAACGGCUUACCAAGGCAACGAUGCGUAGCCGACCUGAGAGGGUGAUCGGCAACACUGGAACUGAGACCCGGUCCAGACUCCUACGGGAGGCAGCAGUAGGGAAUCUUCCGCAAUGGGCGAAAGCCUGACGGAGCAACGCCGCGUGAGUGAUGAAGGUCUUCGGAUCGUAAAACUCUGUUAUUAGGGAAGAACAAAUGUGUAAGUAACUAUGCACGUCUUGACGGUACCUAAUCAGAAAGCCACGGCUAACUACGUG
rnacentral:rRNA from 1 species